rnacentral:lncRNA from 1 species
AAGCCAGCGAGAAAGCGGAUGGCGAUGAAGGAGUUGGGGGAGGAGAUGAGAGAGGUGGAGAGGAUGAUUGGGGCCGUGAGAAGGGAGAGGGUGGCGAUGGCGAUGCGGGGGCCGAUGAGGUCGCAUAUAGGUCCCAUGGCAAUGCGGGAGACGAUGGAGCCGACGAAGGCGGCAGUGCCGGCAUAGCCGGUGUCGGUGUCGGUGAGAUUGAGGUCGUUGCGGAUGACGGCGAGGAGGGGAGGGAUGGAGAAGGUGGAGAAGAAGUUGGAGAAGAGGGAGAGCCAUGCAAGGUGGAAGGCCAGCAUGUGGGGUGGCGCUAUUGAACAUAACCUCAACUCUGUGGCCUUUUGAUCAGCAUCUACUGGUAGUUCAAACAUAUUACGAUGAUCUUUUAGCACUUGUUCUUCGUCAGCAUCAGCUUC